CUGGUAGCUCAGCGGUGCUUGGGAAGAAAAGUGUCCGCUCUUGGUGUACUGAAGCUGGGCAGAGCACCGCUGGUUGUCCGGGGAGCUCCAUAACACCGCCAUCGUGUGACAGCCAGGUGUAGCCGCGACCACCCAGUAACAGUCAAUUAAGAUGUGGUUAACCGCAGAUACUGGGUGGUCAAUUGACGGCACACGCCAGCUUACCAGUGGUCGCGUACUCGGUAGUCUUUCGGGAAAUAAUAUGGGAAAAUAAGGGGACUGCACGGGCAAAGAAACAACCGUACAAAUAGACGAAUGGAGGGAGGAGAAACAUAACCCAAAGACAGACGGUAGUCCAAUAUCUGUUCACCACUUGGUUAUAG